rnacentral:rRNA from 1 species
GGGNGCUCUCCCNUAUGGUCGGACCUGCAGGCGGCCGCGAAUUCACUAGUGAUUAGAGUUUGAUCCUGGCUCAGGAUGAACGCUGGCGGCGUGCCUAACACAUGCAAGUCGAACGAAGCAAUUAAAAUGAAGUUUUCGGAUGGAUUUUUAAUUGACUGAGUGGCGGACGGGUGAGUAACGCGUGGAUAACCUGCCUCACACUGGGGGAUAACAGUUAGAAAUGACUGCUAAUACCGCAUAAGCGCACAGUACAGCAUGGUACAGUGCGAAAAACUCCGGUGGUGUGAGAUGGAUCCGCGUCUGAUUAGCCAGUUGGCGGGGUAACGGCCCACCAAAGCGACGAUCAGUAGCCGACCUGAGAGGGUGACCGGCCACAUUGGGACUGAGACACGGCCCAAACUCCUACGGGAGGCAGCAGUGGGGAAUAUUGCACAAUGGGCGAAAGCCUGAUGCAGCGACGCCGCGUGAGUGAAGAAGUAUUUCGGUAUGUAAAGCUCUAUCAGCAGGGAAGAAAAUGACGGUACCUGACUAAGAAGCCCCGGCUAACUACGUGCCAGCAGCCGCGGUAAUACGUAGGGGGCAAGCGUUAUCCGGAUUUACUGGGUGUAAAGGGAGCGUAGACGGCGAAGCAAGUCUGAAGUGAAAACCCAGGGCUCAACCCUGGGACUGCUUUGGAAACUGUUUUGCUAGAGUGUCGGAGAGGUAAGUGGAAUUCCUAGUGUAGCGGUGAAAUGCGUAGAUAUUAGGAGGAACACCAGUGGCGAANGCGGCUUACUGGACGAUAACUGACGUUGAGGCUCGAAAGCGUGGGGAGCAAACAGGAUUAGAUACCCUGGNAGUCCACGCCGUAAACGAUGAAUGCUAGGUGUUGGGGGGGCAAAGCCCNUCNGNGCCGUCGCAAACGCANNAAGCAUUCCACCUGGGGGAGUACGUUCGCAAGAAUGAAACUCAAAGGAAUUGA